rnacentral:rRNA from 1 species
AGCGAACGCUGGCGGCAGGCCUAACACAUGCAAGUCGAACGAAGUCUUCGGACUUAGUGGCGGACGGGUGAGUAACACGUGGGUACGUGCCUUUAGGUUCGGAAUAACUCAGGGAAACUUGUGCUAAUACCGAAUGUGCCCUUCGGGGGAAAGAUUUAUCGCCUUUAGAGCGGCCCGCGUCUGAUUAGCUAGUUGGUGAGGUAAAGGCUCACCAAGGCUACGAUCAGUAGCUGGUCUGAGAGGAUGACCAGCCACAUUGGGACUGAGACACGGCCCAAACUCCUACGGGAGGCAGCAGUGGGGAAUCUUGCGCAGUGGGCGAAAGCCUGACGCAGCCAUGCCGCGUGGAUGAUGAAGGUCUUAGGAUUGUAAAAUCCUUUCACCGGUGAAGAUAAUGACUGUAGCCGGAGAAGAAGCCCCGGCUAACUUCGUGCCAGCCGCCGCCGUAAAAC